rnacentral:rRNA from 1 species
CGUAGGGUGCGAGCGUUAAUCGGAAUUACUGGGCGUAAAGUGUGCGCAGGUGGCCGCGCAUGUCGAGUGUGAAAUCCCCGGGCUUAACUUGGGAAUUGCGCUCGAAACUACGUGGCUGGAGUGUGGCAGAGGGAGGUGGAAUUCCACGUGUAGCGGUGAAAUGCGUAGAGAUGUGGAGGAACACCAAUGGCGAAGGCAGCCUCCUGGGCCAACACUGACACUCAUGCACGAAAGCGUGGGGAGCAAACAGGGUUAGAUACCCUGGUAGUCCACGCCCUAAACGAUGAUGACUAGUUGUUGGGGGAGUUAAAUCCCUUAGUAACGCAGCUAACGCGCGAAGUCAUCCGCCUGGGGAGUACGGUCGCAAGAUUA